rnacentral:rRNA from 1 species
GACGGAGGAUGCAAGUGUUAUCCGGAAUUACUGGGCGUAAAGCGUCUGCAGGUGGUUUCUUAAGUCCACUGUUAAACCUUGAGGCUCAACCUCAAUUCAGCAUUGGAAACUGGGAAACUUGAGUAUAGUAGGGGUAGAGGGAAUUUCCAGUGGAGCGGUGAAAUGCGUAGAUAUUGGAAAGAACACCGAUGUCGAAGGCACUCUACUGGGCUAUUACUGACACUCAGAGACGAAAGCUAGGGGAGCAAAUGGG